AGAAAACUUUUUAAAGAGGACCUUUCACCUGGAUAUCCUUAAUCUAAUUAUUAUCCUACCUUAUAGUGCAGCCCCCACUGAUGUCUU